UACGGGGGGGGCAAGCGUUGUUCGGAAUUACUGGGCGUAAAGGGCUCGUAGGCGGCUCGCUAAGUCAGACGUGAAAUCCCCCGGCUUAACCUGGGAACUGCGUCUGAUACUGGAAGACUUGAGUGCGGGAGAGGGAUGUGGAAUUCCAGGUGUAGCGGUGAAAUGCGUAGAUAUCUGGAGGAACACCGGUGGCGAAGGCGGCAUCCUGGACCGACACUGACGCUGAGGCGCGAAAGCUAGGGUAGCAAACGGG
rnacentral:rRNA from 1 species